UACAUUGUCAGGAUUUAUAUUGAGGAGAUAGGGGGUGUCAUUUUCUGUACACAUUCCUGUCCCCACAACUUUCUCUUCAGCCUCUUCUAUAACAUCAAAAUAUUUGUUGUCUGUACUUUUCUUUCUCCGCAGUGGUUUUCUUAUCUCCUUUUCUGUUGGUCACACUGAAACCACCUCCAAUACCACAUUGUUAAUGGAAAUUCACACACUUAUUAGGUUUUUCCUUCUGUAGAACCCUUCCAACUCCUCAUUGUUCUUACCAAAGAAAGAAGAUGAACUGUGAGAUUAUUUGAGGCCCCCCCCCUUUUUUUCUGGUGGAAAAAGGUAAACCCUUACUCAAGAAAGCAAAUUACAGUGUUAACUGAGCACCAGAGGAUGAAAUGCUGUAGGAACAGUAAAGGCAUGAAUCUUACCUUCC
rnacentral:lncRNA from 1 species